CCAUACUCCUCAUCUCUCAGUGUGACAUUUAAGGGUGGCCUCUAAAAGCAUGACAGCAGUGGCAUUGAUGUUACAUAAAGAAGCAAUUUUGACAGAGUUAUUUAAGGAAGAGGUCUCACUUCCAGAAAUCUGAACCUAAUAUGCAGAACAUACAAUUUACAGUCACACACCUAAAAAUCCAAGAAGAGAUGGAUGAAUAUAAAGAAAUAUUUUAUAGCAGUCUGUCACCUCAACACCAAGAUGCUAAGCCAG
rnacentral:lncRNA from 1 species